ensembl:snoRNA
AAGUCAAAUAAUUACUUCAAAUAGCUGGUCUUACUGGCAAAUUGUUUAGUGGCAAACAUGGUUUUCUGAAU